UUUUGUGUAUGGUUGGGUAUUUGUAAUUUUCCAGAACAAAAUGUUUUGAAAACCCGGAUUUUAUUCACAUUGACAAUUUUGCAUAAGUUGGAAACUGUAGAUUAAUAUUGGCUUUAUAAAUGUUAUUUAUAUAUUGAAAGUUUUGUAUUUGUUGUUUAAGAUUAAUGUUUUAAUCUGAAAGCGUAACUUUUAAAGUUAAUUUAAUUUGACCCAAUAAAGUAAUGGUCAAUAGUAAGAUUUAAGCAUUUCACUAAAGAGGAAGGAAAAAUUAGUAUUUUAUCAAGGAAUCUCUUA